CAAAAAAUGUAGUGUAAGGGACUGUUUUUUUUUGUGUGUGAUUAUUUCGGACGUCAAUAUUUUUUUUCUAACCCGUAUCCUGUCAAUACAAGCGUCCACAUCAGCGACGUUUUCCCGUCCUGUGAUAUUGCCGCAUUUAUUUUUUCGUAUCAUGUCGAUUUUGCCAAAGUUUGGCAUUCUGUGUGUCCAUUUCUGACCAAUCAGAUCUCGUGUUGUUGCGACAUCUGAUUCACCGGUAUAUCCAACAUGGCCGACCGGCUAAUUGUGUUUUUGAUAAAAGACACAAACAAACAUUAAUAUUUGAUUGUGACUUCACAAAUCUCUUUGAUUAACGUUCCCUGACAUGUAAACAUACAUUUAUCUUUGCGUUUUUUCUCUUCUUCCUCGUUCUUUUUCCUGCUCCUGAAGGAUAUGUCCUUUUUUUACCGCACAACAACCUGAGCUCUGGAUGCUCAGUGCAUAUUGAACAGCAGGAGGCGCAUAACGGUGGCAGCACUAAAAUGUUUUUUACUUUAUUUUAUUUUGUUUUUACAAGAAUAUAUAUUUGAUCAUACAGAAAGCAUCAUUGAUACAAGCAAAAAAUAAAAUAUUACUUUUUUUUUUAAUUGCUCUUGGGGGCCCCCUACAGGCUGUGGGGCCCUAAGCAGGCACUUAGUUUGCCUUGGGCCAGCUCUGAAAAUGCUUUAAAAAACUACUGAUGUAGCUGCUCUACGGGGUGAAACAUGACAGCAAUCUGUUUGAACACCCUUCAGUAAACAAGAUAAAAAAGGUCCCUGUGGUUAAAGAUGUAAACAAAGGAAGUGUCCCCUGGAUGCCCUCCUAGUACAGAACAUUUUAAAGAGCCCUCUUCUAGAGCUCUAGAUGUCCUUCCAGUUUAUAAUGCAUUAAAAAAUCCCCUCUAAUUGCCUUUCAAGUGAAUCACAUGUUAGAGAAAUUUCCCUCUCAGUAACCGGUAUAUGUUAAAAAAAAGUGCCCUCUAUCACAGACCUGUGUGCACUGGUGCUCCUAUGGUCAACUUACCCCAUACACGGGGUAAGUUGACCAUAGGAGACCACUUUUUUUUGUCAUGCUAUAUUAUCAAGACAGUUCUGUUUACACUCAUUCAGUUGGUUUGCAGGGAUGAAAACCAUCCUGAAAUAUCUGCAGAUACACAAGUUAGAGACAAAACUAGGAUUGACUUGAUGUUGAGAUCCAGAAUAUGAAUAACGGAUCAUCUUACCCCACUCUUCUCUACUUUUAUGAAAAAUAAAAAUAACGCCAAAUAUGUGGAAAUGAACUUUUUAUUUAUCAAUUUACCAGUUCAAAGAUUGCCUCUCUUGAGAUAACUAUAGCGGAUAAAUUAUAAAGGAUUUUCCUCCACUGCAAUAUCCUGCUGCGCCUCUAGAUGGCUCCACUUCACCACAGAGAUACUAAUGUUUUAAACACACGAGUGUUAAAUUCACGGAUUUCUGAAUCGUGGUCUUUGAAAAGUGUCUCAUCUUGUGGGUUUCUCUCAUCACUCAGAUGUCAACCCCAGUUUUAUAAAAAUGUCCACUCCUCAGUUUGUUCUGGUUCUCGGUGUCUGUGUGGAAAAAAGACCAAACUUACCAGGAGUGUGUGAGUUUGUUCAGCCGGGUCUGGACCGAGGGUUCGGCUCAAGGUUCACCAGAACCAGCUGUCUGCAGCAUCUGGACUCCAUCAGGUGAGAGAGGGUGUCGAGAAGAGAAAGAAAUGCUGUUAUGUUUAUGAUGACCCCAUUUCACCGACAGAUGUUAGAGUAAAAAACAGAUUUAACAACAACAACCUGUUCGUUUUAACUCCAAAACUACAUCAGGAGAGAGUCAGCCCAGGUACUGCCACCUACUGGCAGUCAGGAGAGUCAACAAAAACUCUGAAAUGACAAGCUAAUCAAGGUUAUAUUCUUGAUUUAUCAGAGUGAUUUUUAUUAAACUGAUUUACUUAUAUUUUUAAAAUCACUUUAGUUGUGUUUUAAAGUUUUUCUUUCUGAUUAUUAUGGUGUGUGUUUUCAUGUUAUAUUUGGUGGAUGUUAAAGAAAUCUCCAGACAGGUAGAAAUACGGUCACCUGAACCUGAACCACCGAUCAAUCACCUGGUUAAUUAAACUAUGGUGAUCAAUCAUGAUUACAUUAUCCUUUAAGAAGAGACGAGUGGUUACUCAUGUGUCUGUGUGUGUGUGUGUGUGUGUGUGUGUGUGUGUGUGUGUGUGUGUGUGUGUGUGUGUGUGUGUGUGUGUAAAUAUAGCUGCAGACUUGGGUGUGGAUGUGAACUUGUGUGAGAGGAGGAGCUCUGGAGAUGUUCAGAUGUAAACAAAGACUCUUGGUUUGUGUCUCUAAUCUGAAAUCCUCAGAGAUGAAAUGUUGUCACCUCUGAAUCAAACUGUCUUAAAGGCCGUUAAAUAGGAAAAGGAGAAACUGUUUUAUGAACAUCCAGUUAAAGUUUUACUGUUUAACUUUACUUCAGAGAAUGUAAUUUUGAUCACCUUGUGAGAUUUUUUAACCAUCUAACUUUUCACCUUUUCUCCACCGAUUGACACACUGGCUGGAUAAAUAUCCUCUGGGUUUUCUUCCAGUUGAUAAAGCAUGAAAAAGUGCCUCUAGAUACCCAACCUGAAUUUUAAAAAAGGGGUAAAACUUUGUUGAUUUUCUCUCAGUUGUAUAAAAGGUAAAUGACUUCCUCCUGCAUACAAGACGAGAUUAUAAAUUGUUAAAAUUGAUCUGUAGAUUUUUCAUCCAGUUAAUCUAAAACAACUACUAUCUGGAUGCCCUACCUGAAUAUGAUUGUGAACGAUUUUCUUCUAAUUAAUUAAAUGUUUUAAAAAAGGAAAAGCUCUUGAAUGUUUAAAUUUAUAAAAAGGGGAAAAAGGUCCAAAAAACAGUGUAAAAUAUCCAGACAGUAAAAUCUCUGUGGUUCCUCUGGUUGAUAAAAUGUAAAAAUAGGCCCUCUGGAUGCCAAACCUGACCUACAAUGUAACACAGCCGUCAUUUCUUCAUAUAAAUACAAUCAGACCGAGACGCUUAAGCAGAAAAACUACUGCGUCUGCAGUGCAAAAUGAUUAAUAUGGUGAUUAUUACUUCAAGGAAAUGAUAAAGAAAUGAUCAUAAAUGCUCUUCCUUGAGCUGCAUCACCCUGUAGUCCGUAAUGGACUGGCCUGAGGUCUCACUGCAAACAAGCGGCUGCUGGAAGAGAGUAGGUGAGUGAGGUGCGGUCGUUACUAAAGUUGGUUUGACUAGAGAAGCAGUCGGCAACAUUCAUCUCUUGACGGGGUGUCUAACUCUGUGUUACGGUGUGUUUGACCCUAAAUUAAUUUCACUCCGGAAUAUCCCUUUAAGUUCAUGUCAAACCUGCAGCUGAUCAUCACUGUUGUUUUCUUUGUUUCUACUCAGGACUCAUCCAGGUACCUAAACAGACACCUGCAGGACUUCUAUGUGGUUCUGGAUGAGGUCAGAGGGAGGGUUCCUCAGGUAAGACCACUUCACUGAAGUUUGACUUUGCGUGUUUUAUGACACUAAAGUCUUCAUCUGGAACGGACUGAAGCCAGACUGAGAUUUUCCACAGUAGCUCCUGGUGCUGGAUUUUGUGAGGCCACUUAGUACGAGGUCAAAUUCCUCCCCUUAUCCUGCUGACGGUUUCUGUGUCUGCACCACAGGAGCCUCUGAAGGGUUCAGUGAGCAGCUCCAUGAAGACGGCGCUGCGCUCCUACACCGACGUUUGUGACGCCGUGUUUGUGGUGGAGAUCCGCCUCCUCUUUCUUGGAAAGACGGGUGGAGAUCCUCAGUGUCAGCUUCUGUCUUUCCUCGCUGAUUCACUGCAGAUGAAACCGCAGAUUUCAAGCUCUGUAGCCAAGGUACAAACCUCCAGAUUCCAGCGCAGCGCUGCUGUGCAAAGAGUUUUAUUACCAUAAUCUCUUUUGGAUAAGGAGAGCACCGUUACAACACUGUUUUCAACGCAAUAAACCCUUUAUUUAGGUAGGAUUACUGUUUGUUAUAAUGCACACCGCACUGUACAUGCAACAUAGUUUAACACCAUCUAAACCAGAGAGGAAUAUUUGUAUUCAAGUUGUUAUUUUUGUCCCAGACAGUCAUGUUUACUUUUGGAUAUCAUGAGGAGAUGUUAAAGGGAUAUUCCGGUGUAAAAUUAGGGUCGAACACACUGUAACACAGAGUUAGACCCCCCCUCCAGAGAUGAAUGUUGCAGACCGCUUGCUUCUCUAUUUAUACCAACUUUAGAUACGACCGCAGGAUGGCAAUACAGAGAGCCACGCCCCCAACCAAAACGCCACUCUAUAGCCACAAAUAAUGCUCAGAACAGCACCUAACUUCAUCAACAGGACAUAUAGGGUCACAGCCAUAGUACUAGACAUCAAACAUCUUUUUAACUUUGACCCAUUUCUUUAGCAAAGAGACUAAACACAACUCACCUACUCUCUUCCAGCAGACGCUUGUUUGUAGUGGGACCUCAGGCCAGUCCAUUACGGACUACAGCGGGGUGACACAGCUCAAGGAAGAACAUUUAUGAUCCCUUUAAUAUGAAUUUAAAUGUGUUUUAGAAACACCAAAAAACCUCCUCACAGGACCUUUAAGUCAUUCAUGACAGAGGGAGCUUCCUGUUUCUGAUUGUUUGGCCAACUUUAACCUUUUAUUUUGUCUUUUAAUUUUUUUAGCUGCUUCAUCUUUUAACGUUUGUCAGCUUCUGUUAUUUGAGGAUUUGAUCAUGUUUUAAUGUGAUAUCUGUGUUUUAUAAAUGUCAUAUUUUAAUGUACCGCCCUGUUAAAACACGCUUGAGUCUUAUCAAAUGCUUUAUUAAUGAUAUGCAUAUCUCGUCUUGUGGAAACUUGAAUUACUGAUGAAAUCAGUCACAAGUGUUACUCUUUGGGUAUUAAAUCUGCUCAGCCUGCAUUACCACACAGAGCAUUUAAUGAGUGUGACAAUGGUUGUGAAAACUCGGUCACGUUUGGCUGUGAUGUGAUAGAUUACUCAAGAGGAGCAGGUUUCACUGGUUCAAAAAUGAAAGGAAAACCAGUGAAUGGCAUUAAAAAACUCAAAGCUGAAGUUAAGAGGCUGAAAAAACACACGGUUGUGGAGAGAGACACCUAAAACCUGCUGGAAAUCCUAAGUUAUAGCGUUCACAUAACUACUUUAAAUCAUGACAGUUAAACUCUGCAUGAUCCAAGAGAGGCUCCGCCCACAGUCACCACAUAAUUUCAGUCAUUAUUUUCACUCUUAACCCCCGCUGGCUGCCAGAAACUGACCCCAAACACCGCACAGAGGGAAGUUUUCUUGGCUGUAAUCCGUUGAGUGUGCCGUCUGACACGGCGGGCGCCCGGGGUUUGACCCCAAUAAAACCAGAAUUUGAGGAAUUACGCUGCACCUUGUUGCCUCCCAGCACUUUGUUUUUGUUGUCGCUGUUAACGUUGUUAUCAUAUUAAACUUUGGUAAGACUUAAAUCCUGGCUUUGUUGAAGGACCCCUUUCAGACGCUGCCCUCAGAGUUACAGCAGAAGCUGUCUGAGGAGGAAAAAGGAGGUCUGAAGGUUUUCUUCUACACAUAAACUCUUCACAGAUAAGCAGAAGCCAUCUGCACUCACCUCUCUGCGGUUAAAACACAACAAAUCGACCAUUUGUGUGUGUUUGUUGGAGGUAACGCCCCAAAUGGCAAAGCAAUCAGAAAACAUCUAUAAUAUUGAUUUAUUUCAGUUUACCCUGGAGGUGUUUUUGUUUUUAGAAAUAAGACUUUUUUGAACUCCUGGAUGUUGAGAAGUGUGCCUAUUGUUGGUGCAGAGAUUACCACCCUGGUCUGAAGGAAUCCAUUCAUCCCUGACAGCUUUAAUCAGAGCAAAGUGUGGAGGGCUCACCCCGCACUCUCCCCCGGGACUGAGAGCCUUUUGACUUCUAGGACCAGGAGCGUGACCCCUCCAGGCGGCCAUCUGUCGGGGGGAAAGGGAGCUUAAGUAGUUUCCCCUCAGCCACAGGUCAUUUGUAUUGAAGCAGCAGCUGGGCAGGAGAGUGAAUGGGAAUGCUGAUGGUGAAAACAAUGGAUGCAAUGCAAACUGUUGUUGUCUUUGUGUCCUCCCUCCCUGCUGUCUUCAGCAUCAGGUCCACCUUGCAGGUCCAUUUGGAGCAGAAAGACCUUCAACCCCUGCUGGGACCUGGAACAUCAGAGGGCUGAAUCAUUGCUUUUCUUUGUGUUUUUUAGAAAUAGGUUAUUACUGAUGCAAUUUCUGGAUACUGAUUGACUAUUUCUAAGAGAUUCAUCCCAUAUAGAAGCACAAUUUCUCUUUUGAACCCCCGCCCAAACAUGUUUACAUAAUUUUCAUGAUGUUGUGUUUGUCUGAGUAUCAUGGGUCUCUGGGUAGCUUCAGCGUUUCCUUUGACAUCUUUGAAGACAUAUUUGUUUCCCUGAUCCAAAACCUGCAACAGCGAUCGAGGGUAAAGUAGGUUUGGGUGGAUUUGAGAGCUGCAUGUAGGUGAAUAAGGUCAGUAAGAGUGGUCCUGGAAUUUGUGUGCUAUCUUGAAGCUAACACUACGCCGGCAUCCUCCAGAUCAACUUCAUAUCGACUCAGGCGCUACAUGGUCUAACCACAUGACACAUUGAAAAGUCUUCUCGCCGCCGUCUUCCGUGCCUCGAUCGUAAAAACACCAGUGCGUCAUUGAUUUUUAUUUUUUUUAUCUGCACCGUUUCUUUUUUUAUUUGUUGUGGGCUUUGGUUUCUUUUUUUCUUUUUUUUUGGAUCAUUAACUUCCAUUGUGUGAUUUUUAAAUUUAUCUGCAGUGUUUCUUUUUUCAUUUGCUGCGGGCUUCAGUUUCUUUUUCUUUUUUUUCUUUUUUUGGUUUUGCGUGGGUAACUUCUGUUGUGGUUUCUUUUUUUUUUUUUUUCAUUCUUUUUUAUUUGCAGUAGUGGCGGUUCUUGGCCACCAUAGAAAAGAAACUAAGUUAACAGUUUCUAUAAUAAUAAUAAUAAUAAUUAUUAUUUAUUUCUUAGGAAUUUUUUGCUCAUGAAUGCCAAAUGUCAGUUAUUUUGUUGCAUUUCCCCCCUCUCUUUGGACAUUGCACAGUUAAAAAUAAAAGAAAACUACUUUAAUUUGUCAUGUAUUGUACUAUUUUGAUAAAUACUGUUUCUUGGGUGUAUUAAUUCGGGUUAAAAUCACCCGGUGAUAGUGUUACAGGGUUAAAAAGACGUUGUAGAUGUUUGAUAUCAGAAGUUAAAAUGAGAGACGGUCUGUUUUUUGCUUUUCAUGUUUGAUUUAAAUGGUUUAUUUCACUCUAACUAUAAAUACUCAGUUUUCUCCCAGAGUAACUCCUAAUUUUUGACUCUUCGUUAAAAAACUUGAGGAAAAAUAAAAAUCUGCCAUCACGCCUCCC